UGGGGAAUCUUGGACAAUGGGCGCAAGCCUGAUCCAGCCAUGCCGCGUGAGUGAUGAAGGCCUUAGGGUUGUAAAGCUCUUUUGCCGGGGACGAUAAUGACGGUACCCGGAGAAUAAGUCCCGGCUAACUUCGUGCCAGCAGCCGCGGUAAUACGAAGGGGACUAGCGUUGUUCGGAAUCACUGGGCGUAAAGCGCACGUAGGCGGAUUUGUAAGUCAGGGGUGAAAUCCCGGGGCUCAACCUCGGAACUGCCUUUGAUACUGCGGAUCUCGAGUCCGAUAGAGGUGAGUGGAAUUCCUAGUGUAGAGGUGAAAUUCGUAGAUAUUAGGAAGAACACCGGUGGCGAAGGCGGCUCACUGGAUCGGUACUGACGCUGAGGUACGAAAGCGUGGGGAGCAAACAGGAUUAGAUACCCAGGUAGUCCCUGAGCGGGCUGGCAAGGCGCAU
rnacentral:rRNA from 1 species